CACAUGCACAUGGGUGCAUAUACGUGUAUAUAGCCGCAACGUUGAAAAUAACAGAAUAGCCCUCAGACUGCUUUGAGGCCGCGAAGGAGAAUAACCGGAUCCUUGACUGAUGUGGACUCUAAGACAGCGAGCGACGACGGUGACACGAGCACGUGUGCACUUUUGUGGAAUGCCGCAACAGCGACAGCGGAGGAAGAGCAGUUCCCCGACACUUGACCUCCAGGGAUAAUGCGCUUGCGCAUGCCCCGCCUGGUGGCGUUUGGGUAUCUUCCGUUGGAGAUCGGUUAUCCGGGCAUGCGCGGAAAAUAAA